AGAGUUUGAUCAUGGCUCAGAACGAACGUUAGCGGCGCGCCUAAGACAUGCAAGUCGAGCGAGAAAGGGCUUCGGCCCCGGUAAAGCGGCGCACGGGUGAGUAACACGUAGGUAAUCAACCCUCGAGUGGUGGACAACUCUCCGAAAGGAGAGCUAAUACAGCAUGAUGGCGCAACUUUCCGAAGUUGUGCCCAAAGCGGGCCUCUCCAUGGAAGCUCGCGCUUGAGGAUGAGCCUGCGGCCCAUCAGCUAGUUGGUCGGGGUAAUGGCCCACCAAGGCUAAGACGGGUAGCUGGUCUGAGAGGAUGAACAGCCACACUGGAACUGAGACACGGUCCAGACUCCUACGGGAGGCAGCAGUCGGGGAAUCUUCCGCAAUGGGCGAAAAGCCUGACGGAGCGACGCCGCGUGAGCGAUGAAGGCCUUCGGGUUGUAAAGCUCUGUGGGGAGGGAAGAAUAAGGGUGAGUUAAUAGCUCAUCUGAUGACGGUACCUCCUUAGCAAGCACCGGCUAACUCUGUGCCAGCAGCCGCGGUAAGACAGAGGGUGCAAACGUUGUUCGGAUUUACUGGGCGUAAAGCGCGUGUAGGCGGCCUUGCAAGUCGGAUGUGAAAGCCCACGGCUCAACCGUGGAAGUGCAUCCGAAACUGCAUAGCUUGAGUCUCGGAGAGGAAGGUGGAAUGCUUGGUGUAGAGGUGAAAUUCGUAGAUAUCAAGCAGAACACCUGCGGCGAAGGCGGCCUUCUGGACGAUGACUGACGCUGAGACGCGAAAGCGUGGGGAGCAAACAGGAUUAGAUACCCUAGUAGUCC
rnacentral:rRNA from 1 species